AUUGAACGCUGGCGGCAUGCCUUACACAUGCAAGUCGAACGGCAGCACGGGAGCAAUCCUGGUGGCGAGUGGCGAACGGGUGAGUAAAGUAUCGGAACGUGCCCAGUCGUGGGGGAUAACGUAGCGAAAGUUACGCUAAUACCGCAUACGAUCUAUGGAUGAAAGCGGGGGAUCGCAAGACCUCGCGCGAUUGGAGCGGCCGAUAUCAGAUUAGGUAGUUGGUGGGGUAAAGGCUCACCAAGCCGACGAGCUGUAGCUGGUCUGAGAGGACGACCAGCCACACUGGGACUGAGACACGGCCCAGACUCCUACGGGAGGCAGCAGUGGGGAAUUUUGGACAAUGGGCGUAAGCCUGAUCCAGCCAUGCCGCGUGCAGGAUGAAGGCCUUCGGGUUGUAAACUGCUUUUGUACGGAACGAAAAGGUUUGGCCUAAUAAGCUGAGCUCAUGACGGUACCGUAAGAAUAAGCACCGGCUAACUACGUGCCAGCAGCCGCGGUAA
rnacentral:rRNA from 1 species